AUCUCAUUCAUUAAUUACAACAAAAAGAGAGGUUACAAAAGUCAUAAUAUAUGUAAAUAAGCAUAAAGCUCUCAUACAUCCAAUCUACAAAAUACAACUAAGUAACCUAAUACGAAAUGAUGAAAUCACUGACAAUGGACAUCGAGCUUAAGAUCAAGAUUGGUGAAACAUGAUUAGUCUCAUCCUCGACUGAAAGGUCUGGUCCGAGAGGAAGAUGCCGGA
rnacentral:lncRNA from 1 species